ensembl:snoRNA
UUGGCCCUACAUCAAGACUGGCAGUUUACUGAAUCUGCUUGUUUCAUACAGGAGCCUAAAGAAAUGUCUUUCUGUGAUCUGUUGGCCAUUUCAGAAACUUGGAAAUGUAAUGGUCAAUUCAUUAGAGGGAAAAAUUU